CACGAGUUUGAUCCUGGCUCAGAUUGAACGCUGGCGGAAUGCUUUACACAUGCAAGUCGAACGGUAGAGGGGGCAACCCCUUGAGAGUGGCGAACGGGUGAGUAAUAUAUCGGAACGUGCCCAGUCGUGGGGGAUAACGUAGCGAAAGUUACGCUAAUACCGCAUACGAUCUAAGGAUGAAANCGGGGGAUCGCAAGACCUCGCGCGAUUGGAGCGGCCGAUAUCAGAUUAGGUAGUUGGUGAGGUAAAGGCUCACCAAGCCAACGAUCUGUAGCUGGUCUGAGAGGACGACCAGCCACACUGGAACUGAGACACGGUCCAGACUCCUACGGGAGGCAGCAGUGGGGAAUUUUGGACAAUGGACGCAAGUCUGAUCCAGCCAUUCCGCGUGCAGGAUGAAGGCCCUCGGGUUGUAAACUGCUUUUGUACGGAACGAAAAGGUUUGUCUUAAUACGAUGAGCUCAUGACGGUACCGUAAGAAUAAGCACCGGCUAACUACGUG
rnacentral:rRNA from 1 species